rnacentral:rRNA from 1 species
GAUGAACGCUAGCGAUAGGCUUAACACAUGCAAGUCGAGGGGCAGCAUGGUCUUAGCUUGCUAAGACUGAUGGCGACCGGCGCACGGGUGCGUAACGCGUAUGCAACUUGCCUCACAGAGGGGGAUACCCCGUCGCAAGACGGACUAAUACCGCGUACACUUGGGAUAGGGCAUCUUGACCCAAGGAAAUGAAAUUCGCUGUGAGAUAGGCAUGCGUCCCAUUAGCGAGUUGGUGAGAUAACGGCUCACCAAGGCGACGCUGGGGAUGGGAGCUGAGAGGGUGAACCCCCACACUGGUACUACGAUACGGACCAGACUCCGACGGGAGGCAGCAGUGAGGAAUAUUGGUCGAUGGGCGAGAGCCUGAACCAGCCAAGUCGCGUGAAGGAGGACUGGCUUAGGGAUUGUAAACUUCUUUUAUACGGGAAUAACAAGAGCCACGUGUGGCUCCCUGCAUGUACCGUAUGAAUAAGCAUCGGCUAACUCCGUG